rnacentral:rRNA from 1 species
GAUGAACGCUAGCGGGAGGCCUAACACGUGCAAGCCGAGCGGUAUUUCUUCUUCGGAAGAGAGAGAGCGGCGCACGGGUGCGUAACACGUGUGCAACCUACCUUUAUCUGGGGGAUAGCCUUUCGAAGGGAAGAUUAACACCCCAUAAUAUAUUGAAUGGCAUAAUUUGAUAUUGAAAACUCCGGUGGAUAAAGAUGGGCACGCGCAAGAUUAGAUAGUUGGUGAGGUAACGGCUCACCAAGUCAAUGAUCUUUAGGGGUCCUGAGAGGGAGAUCCCCCACACUGGUACUGAGACACGGACCAGACUCCUACGGGAGGCAGCAGUGAGGAAUAUUGGACAAUGGGUGAAAGCCUGAUCCAGCCAUCCCGCGUGAAGGAUGACGGUCCUAUGGAUUGUAAACUUCUUUUGUACAGGAAUAAACCUACUCUCGUGAGAGUAGCUGAAGGUACUGUACGAAUAAGCACCGGCUAACUCCGUGCCAGCCGCCGCAGUAA